rnacentral:rRNA from 1 species
GUUAGGAAUAUUGGACAAUGGGCGCAAGCCUGAUCCAGCCAUGCCGCGUGAACGAUGAAGGCCUUCGGGUUGUAAAGUUCUUUAGCCGAUGAUUAUAAUGACUGUAGUCGGAAAAUAAGCCCCGGCUAACUUCGUGCCAGCAGCCGCGGUAAUACGAAGGGGGCGAGCGUUAUUCGGAAUCACUGGGCGUAAAGCGUGCGUAGGCGGUCUCGUAAGUUAGGAGUGAAAGCCCAGGGCUCAACCUUGGAAUUGCUCUUAAAACUGCAAGGCUCGAAUCUCGGAGAGGAUAGCGGAAUUUCCAGUGUAGCAGUGAAAUGCGUAGAUAUUGGAAGGAACACCAGUGGCGUAAGCGGCUAUCUGGACGAGUAUUGACGCUGAGGCACGAAAGCGUGGGGAUCAAACAGGAUUAGAAACCCCGGUAGUCC